ACAUCCGAAAGGACCGAGUGUGGAGAGUUUCCAGUUUGGUGAACUGGGGAGAGAGCCGUGCCUGGAGAGGACACAGACGCUCCUGCAGUCUCUCCCCGUAACCUCACCCCGUGCAUUUCUCCCGUCUGGCUGUUUCUGAAUUCUCUCCUUCUAUAAAAACAAAAACAGUAAUCUGGAGAUAGGUGCUGAAGAAUUCCCAAAGGAUCUCUGCGGCUCAGAACUCGCAGCGGCUCAGACAAGAUCUGCGCAUGCACACAGCCCUCUUGCUGAGACUUAUUUCGCGCGGCUGGAGAGUCAGAUUGGGCUCCAAGGGGCGGAAUACGUAAGGGCGGCUUCCGGUGACCCGCGCAGACGUCGAAGACAGCCGGAAUGGAGGAGGUGCCUCAGGGCUGUCCCGGGACCGGCAGCGCCCAGGCGGGCCGAGGGGCCUCAUGUCAGGGGUGCCCCAACCAGCGGCUCUGCGCCUCCGGAGCCGGCGCCGCUCCGGACCCAGCCAUAGAAGAAAUCAAAGAAAAAUUGAAGACCGUGAAACACAAAAUCUUGGUGUUAUCCGGGAAAGGUGGUGUUGGAAAAAGCACAUUCAGUGCCCACCUUGCCCACGGCCUAGCAGAGGAUGAAAACACACAGGUCGCCCUUCUGGACAUUGAUAUAUGUGGGCCAUCGAUUCCCAAGAUGAUGGGAUUGGAAGGAGAACAGGUUCACCAGAGUGGCUCGGGCUGGUCUCCAGUGUUCUUGGAAGACAACCUGGGGGUGAUGUCCGUGGGUUUCUUGCUCAGCAGUCCUGACGAUGCCGUUAUCUGGAGGGGACCAAAGAAGAAUGGCAUGAUCAAGCAGUUCCUUCGGGACGUGGACUGGGGAGAGGUCGACUACCUCAUCGUGGACACCCCGCCAGGCACGUCGGACGAACACCUCUCGGCCGUCCAGUACCUGUCCGCGGCACACGUCGAUGGGGCGGUGAUCAUCACUACUCCUCAGGAGGUGUCCCUCCAGGACGUCCGCAAAGAAAUCAGCUUCUGCCACAAGGUGAAGCUGCCCAUCGUCGGAGUGGUGGAGAACAUGAGUGUUUUCGUCUGCCCCAAGUGCAAGAAAGAGUCUCAGAUAUUCCCACCAACGACGGGGGGUGCGGAGGUCUUGUGCCAGGACCUGAAGAUCCCUCUCCUCGGAAAAGUGCCUCUGGACCCACACAUAGCGGGAGCCAAGGUGGAUGCCCGGACACAGACAGGAAGGGAUGAAGCUUGCGCUCCAGCCUGGGUGGGAGCCCUGGGGCAGGAGGUAAGAGUUGUGACAAAGGACAGUCUUUUUUGAUUGAUGCACCGGAUUCCCCAGCUGCUUUAGCCUACAGAGGUAUCAUUCAAAAAAUCCAGGAGUUCUGUGGUCUCCAUCAGCCAAAAGAAGAGCACCUCAUCAGCUCCUGAAACACAAGAGAACAUUCAAGACGCAAGCCGCACUUGCACUCCAGCCUGAGUAGCAUGGGGACAAAGUUGGGUCACAGGCAGAAAGGGACCAGACUCUGGUAUGGCAUGAAGUCAUUUUUUUUAGAGAUGCUGGAGUCAUAGGAUUUGUAUACUUUUCAACACACAUAAAGGCAUACUUUACAAACACGCCUCUUAAAAAUAAGAACCUCAAACCCCUCCCCCAAGGCCUGCUUCCAGGAAAGAGCCAACGGCUUAUUGGUCGGGGAAUUCUCUGCUGGAAGCUUGUGCAGUUACAGAACUUCUCCCUCAAGCCACUGCUGCCUCAGAAGAUAAGCCUAAAAAAGAACCCCGGUGAUGGAUGUGUGGCUUCACUGUAAAACCCAGUCAUGGCUUCAAGUAGCACAGUCCAAAUGCUGCUUCACAAUGAGGGAAGAAUUAGUCCCCAGAAGCCCUUGAAAAGCUCUUAAAUCACCCAUGGAAACAGAAGAGGUCAUCUGUGUCUGUACCUAGUGCACACUAUAGCCGGUAAUUUCCAGCAUCCUAUAAGACAGCUUAUAGGGUUUUUGUUUUUUUUUAAUUACAUAAAAGGAGACACCCAUGUAAA